rnacentral:rRNA from 1 species
ACUCAAAGGAAUUGACGGGGACCCGCACAAGCAGCGGAGCAUGUGGUUUAAUUCGAAGCAACGCGAAGAACCUUACCAAGACUUGACAUCUAUAUGACCGCCUUCGAAAAAGGGCUUCUCUUCGGAGCAUAUAGACAGGUGGUGCACGGUUGUCGUCAGCUCGUGUCGUGAGAUGUUUGGUUAAGUCCAGCAACGAGCGCAACCCUUAUCACUAGUUGCCAGUAUUAAGUUAGGAACUCUAGUGAGACUGCCGUAGAUAAUACGGAGGAAGGUGGGGAUGACGUCAAAUCAUCAUGCCCCUUACGUCUUGGGCUACACACGUGCUACAAUGGCUAUUACAAAGAGCAGCAAUAUGGUAACAUUGAGCGAAUCUCACAAAAAUAGUCUCAGUUCGGAUUGUGGGCUGCAACUCGCCCACAUGAAGUCGGAGUUGCUAGUAAUCCCGAAUCAGAACGUCGGGGUGAAUGCGUUCCCGGGUCUUGUACACACCGCCCGU